rnacentral:rRNA from 1 species
AUUGAACGCUGGCGGCAGGCCUAACACAUGCAAGUCGAGCGGAGCGGCGGACGGGUGAGUGAUUCCUACGAAUCUGCCUGGUCGUGGGGGAUGAGGUCCGGUAACGGGCGCUAAUACCGAAUACUUUCAGCUGAGCCUUGGUCGGAUGAGCUAGUUGGUGGGGCAAAGGCCUACCAAGGCGACGGUCCGUAACUGGUCUGAGAGGAUGAUCGGUCACACUGGAACGUAGACACGGUCCAGACUCCUACGGGAGGCAGCAGGGGGGAAUAUUGGACAAUGGGCGAAAGCCUGAUGCAGCCAUGCCGCGUGUGUGAAGAAGGUCUUCGGAUUGUAAAGCACUUUAAGUUGGGAGGCGUUACCAACAGAGUAAGCACCGGCUAACUACGUGCCAGCAGCCGCGGUAAUAC